rnacentral:rRNA from 1 species
AAACCAGCACCUCAAGUGGUCAGGAGGAUUAUUGGGUCUAAAGCAUCCGUAGCCUGUUCUGUAAGUUUUCGGUUAAAUCCACUAGCUCAACUAGUGGGCUGCCGAAAAUACUGUAGAACUAGGGAGUGAGAGAGGUAGACGGUAUUCGGUAGGAAGGGGUAAAAUCCUUUGAUCUAUUGAGGACCACCUGUGGCGAAGGCGGUCUACCAGAACACGUCCGACGGUGAGGGAUGAAAGCUGGGGGAGCAAACCGAAUUAGAAACCCCAGUAGUCC